rnacentral:rRNA from 1 species
ACCCUUUAAUGGCUGGUGUUCUAACGUAGACCCGUGAUCCGGGUUGCGGACAGUGUCUGGUGGGUAGUUUGACUGGGGCGGUCUCCUCCCAAAGAGUAACGGAGGAGCACGAAGGUUAGCUAAUCCUGGUCGGACAUCAGGAGGUUAGUGCAAUGGCAUAAGCUAGCUUGACUGCGAGAGUGACGGCUCGAGCAGGUGCGAAAGCAGGUCAUAGUGAUCCGGUGGUUCUGAAUGGAAGGGCCAUCGCUCAACGGAUAAAAGGUACUCCGGGGAUAACAGGCUGAUACCGCCCAAGAGUUCAUAUCGACGGCGGUGUUUGGCACCUCGAUGUCGGCUCAUCACAUCCUGGGGCUGAAGUAGGUCCCAAGGGUAUGGCUGUUCGCCAUUUAAAGUGGUACGCGAGCUGGGUUUAGAACGUCGUGAGACAGUUCGGUCCCUAUCUGCCGUGGGCGCUGGAGAAUUGAGGGGGGCUGCUCCUAGUACGAGAGGACCGGAGUGGACGCAUCACUGGUGUUCGGGUUGUCAUGCCAAUGGCACUGCCCGGUAGCUAAAUGCGGAAAAGAUAAGUGCUGAAAG